rnacentral:rRNA from 1 species
AGAAUCAACGCUGGCGGCGUGCCUAACAAAUGCAAGUCGAACGAGAAAGUGGAGCAAUCCAUGAGUAAAGUGGCGCACGGGUGAGUAACACGUGACUAACCUACCCUUGAGUGGGGGAUAACCUAGAGAAAUCUGGGCUAAUACCGCAUAAUACCUUCGGGUCAAAGGAGCAAUUCGCUUAAGGAGGGGGUCGCGGCCGAUUAGUUAGUUGGCGGGGUAAUGGCCCACCAAGACUGUGAUCGGUA